rnacentral:rRNA from 1 species
AUUGAACGCUGGCGGCAGGCCUAACACAUGCAAGUCGAGCGGAUGAAGGGAGCUUGCUUCUGGAUUCAGCGGCGGACGGGUGAGUAAUGCCUAGGAAUCUGCCUGGUAGUGGGGGGCAACGUUUCGAAAGGAACGCUAAUACCGCAUACGUCCUACGGGAGAAAGCAGGGGACCUUCGGGCCUUGCGCUAUCAGAUGAGCCUAGGUCGGAUUAGCUAGUUGGUGAGGUAAUGGCUCACCAAGGCGACGAUCCGUAACUGGUCUGAGAGGAUGAUCAAUCACACUGGAACUGAGACACGGUCCAGACUCCUACGGGAGGCAGCAGUGGGGAAUAUUGGACAAUGGGCGAAAGCCUGAUCCAGCCAUGCCGCGUGUGUGAAGAAGGUCUUCGGAUUGUAAAGCACUUUAAGUUGGGAGGAAGGGUUGUAGAUUAAUACUCUGCAAUUUUGACGUUACCGACAGAAUAAGCACCGGCUAACUCUGUGCCAGCCGCCGCGGUAAAAC